AUUGAACGCUGGCGGCAGGCCUAACACAUGCAAGUCGAGCGAGCGGCGGACGGGUGAGUAAUGUCUGGGGACUGCCCGAUAGAGGGGGAUAACUACUGGAAACGGUGGCUAAUACCGCAUACUAUCGGAUAACCCAUAUGGGGUUAGCUUGUAGGUGAGGUAACGGCUCACCUAGGCGACGAUCCCUAGCUGGUGUGAGAGGAUGAUCGGCCACACUGGGAGUGAGACACGGCCCAGACUCCUACGGAGGCGGCAGUGGGGAAUAUUGCACAAUGGGCGCAAGCCGGAUGCAGCCAUGCCGCGUGUAUGAAGAAGGCCUUCGGGUUGUAAAGUACUUUCAGUCGGGAGGCGUUACCGACAGAAGAAGCACCGGCUAACUCCGUGCCAGCAGCCGCGGUAAUUC
rnacentral:rRNA from 1 species